GUAAUACGUAGGUGGCAAGCGUUGUCCGGAUUUAUUGGGCGUAAAGCGAGCGCAGGCGGUUUUUUAGGUCUGAUGUGAAAGCCUUCGGCUUAACCGGAGAAGUGCAUCGGAAACCGGGAGACUUGAGUGCAGAAGAGGACAGUGGAACUCCAUGUGUAGCGGUGAAAUGCGUAGAUAUAUGGAAGAACACCAGUGGCGAAGGCGGCUGUCUGGUCUGCAACUGACGCUGAAGCUCGAAAGCAUGGGUAGCGAACAGGAUUAGAUACCCUGGUAGUCCAUGCCGUAAACGAUGAGUGCUAAGUGUUGGAGGGUUUCCGCCCUUCAGUGCUGCAGCUAACGCAUUAAGCACUCCGCCUGGGGAGUACGACCGCAAGGUUGAAACUCAAAGGAAUUGACGGGGGCCCGCACAAGCGGUGGAGCAUGUGGUUUAAUUCGAUGCUACGCGAAGAACCUUACCAGGUCUUGACAUCUUCUGCUAACCUAAGAGAUUAGGCGUUCCCUUCGGGGACGGAAUGACAGGUGGUGCAUGGUUGUCGUCAGCUCGUGUCGUGAGAUGUUGGGUUAAGUCCCGCAACGAGCGCAACCCUUAUUGUCAGUUGCCAGCAUUUAGUUGGGCACUCUGGCGAGACUGCCGGUGACAAACCGGAGGAAGGUGGGGAUGACGUCAAAUCAUCAUGCCCCUUAUGACCUGGGCUACACACGUGCUACAAUGGACGGUACAACGAGUCGCGAAACCGCGAGGUCAAGCUAAUCUCUGAAAGCCGUUCUCAGUUCGGAUUGCAGGCUGCAACUCGCCUGCAUGAAGUUGGAAUCGCUAGUAAUCGUGGAUCAGCAUGCCACGGUGAAUACGUUCCCGGGCCUUGUACACACCGCCCGUCACACCAUGAGAGUUUGUAACACCCAAAGCCGGUGAGGUAACCUUCGGGGGCCAGCCGUCUAAGGUGGGACAGAUGAUUAGGGUGAAGUCGUAACAAGGUAGCCGUAGGAGAACCUGCGGCUGGAUCACCUCCUUUCUAA
rnacentral:rRNA from 1 species